rnacentral:rRNA from 1 species
AGAGUUUGAUCAUGGCUCAGGAUGAACGCUAGCGGUGUGCCUAAUGCAUGCAAGUCGAACGGGAUCCUUUGGAUUCGUCUAAAGGUGAGAGUGGCGGACGGGUGAGUAACGCGUUGGUGACCUGCCCCAGAGAGGGGGACAACCAUUGGAAACGAUGGCUAAUACCCCAGAUGUCAUCGUGUUUAGAAAACAAUGACUAACGCUCCGGCGCUCUGGGAGGGGCCUGCGUCCCAUCAGCUUGUUGGUAAGGUAAUGGCUUACCAAGGCAUAGACGGGUAGGGGGCUUGAGAGCGUGACCCCCCACACUGGUACUGAGACACGGACCAGAUACCUACGGGUAGCAGCAGCAAGGAAUAUUGCCCAAUGGACGAAAGUCUGAGGCAGCAACACCGCGUGGAGGACGAAGGCCUUCGGGUCGUAAACUCCUUUUCUGGGGGAAGAGAACGGACGGUACCCCAGGAAUAAGGCCCGGCUAACUACGUGCCAGCAGCCGCGGUAAAACGUAGGGUUCGAGCGUUAUCCGGAUUUACUGGGCGUAAAGAGCAUGUAGGCGGUUGUUUAAGUCGGACGUGAAAGCUCCUGGCUCAACUAGGAGAGGCCGUUCGAAACUGAAUAACUCGAGGAUGGUAGAGGAUAGUGGAAUUCCAGGUGUAGUGGUGAAAUGCGUAGAUAUCUGGAGGAACACCAGUGGCGAAGGCGGCUAUCUGGGCCAUUCCUGACGCUGAGAUGCGAAAGCUAGGGGAGAGAACGGGAUUAGAAACCCCGGUAUUCCUAGCCGUAAACGAUGUCAACUAGGUGUAGGAGGUAUUGACCCCUUCUGUGCUGCAGCUAACGCGAUAAGUUGACCGCCUGGGGACUACGGCCGCAAGGCUAAAACUCAAAGGAAUUGACGGG